GGUCGAGUGGCGCAAUGUUAGUAACAUCGACCCUCAGAAAGUGUUUCAUUUUCCAUUUAAGCGCUAACUGUCUCAUCACAGGGUAGCGUGUGGUCCUCCUAAGACUGAGGUUGUGGGUUCGAGUCCCAUCUCGAUCG